UUUGAUUUGUAGAUAUCAAAUUUGAGAAUGAAAACUAAGAACAAUUAAUAAAACAUAAUAACCUGUACUAUGAUGCCGUCCCUAACUGUGAAAGCAACACACGGCUUUGUAAUUUUUCGUGUGCAGGAACCAAUGAUCCUCUUGGUAAGAGAUUAAACAACUCAAAAACGCGGCAGGAAGUAGGGUGGGAGCCCAAGUAUUCUAGCUUUGGUCAUUUUCUCGAGACCUUAUGAUCAACUUCUGAGUGUAAACCAAUGAUCCUCUUGGUAAGAGAUUAAACAACUCAAAAACGCGGCAGGAAGUAGGGUGGGAGCCCAAGUAUUCUAGCUUUGGUCAUUUUCUCGAGACCUUAUGAUCAACUUCUGAGUGUAUCUUUUGAGUUUGAAAUCAAAUCAAUAUUUUCACCAUGUUGAUAUUGUAUAUAGAACAUUAUCAUUCAUUUCUUAAAUAUGUGUUUUCUCUGCUCUUCUACUUGGAGUUACAGUUCAAAUUUACUUUUAAGGUGAACACUGAGCAUUGAUAAGUCAUAAUACUACAGAAGGACAUGUGUGAAUCAUUUUGAUUAAGCAUACUCAUGAAAUAGUAUCAUUGCAUUUUCCAUAUGUAUUUUUUCUGGAUAUUUCUCUUUUGCCUAAAUGAUUUAUCUUUGUUACUGGAAAAAUAUGCA
rnacentral:lncRNA from 1 species